AGCGAACGCUGGCGGCAGGCUUAACACAUGCAAGUCGAGCGGGAAGAGAAAUAUGUCAGCGGCAGACGGGUGAGUAACGCGUGGGAACGUACCUUUUGGUUCGGAACAACACAGGGAAACUUGUGCUAAUACCGGAUAAGCCCUUACGGGGAAAGAUUUAUCGCCGAAAGAUCGGCCCGCGUCUGAUUAGCUAGUUGGUGAGGUAAUGGCUCACCAAGGCGACGAUCAGUAGCUGGUCUGAGAGGAUGAUCAGCCACAUUGGGACUGAGACACGGCCCAAACUCCUACGGGAGGCAGCAGUGGGGAAUAUUGGACAAUGGGCGCAAGCCUGAUCCAGCCAUGCCGCGUGAGUGAUGAAGGCCCUAGGGUUGUAAAGCUCUUUUGUGCGGGAAGAUAAUGACGGUACCGCAAGAAUAAGCCCCGGCUAACCUCGUGCCAGCAGCCGCCGUAA
rnacentral:rRNA from 1 species